GCCAGUGUGGCUCAGUGGUACAGCAUCAGCCCUGGAGCUGAAGGGUCUCAGGUUCAAUUCCAGUCAAGGGCA
rnacentral:tRNA from 1 species